GCAGUGAACUGAAACAUCUUAGUAGCUGCAGGAAGAGAAAGAAAAUUCGAUUCCCUGAGUAGCGGCGAGCGAAACGGGAAGAGCCCAAACCACUGAGCUUGCUCAGUGGGGUUGUAGGACUGAACUUUGGAGUUACCAAAGAAUCAGGUAGUCGAAGUGGCUGGGAAGCCACACCAGAGAUGGUGAUAGUCCAGUAGACGAAACCUGGUUCUCUCCGUUCAGGAUCCUGAGUACGGCGGGACACGUGAAACCCCGUCGGAAUCUGCGAGGACCAUCUCGCAAGGCUAAAUACUCCCUAGUGACCGAUAGUGAACCAGUACCGUGAGGGAAAGGUGAAAAGCACCCCGGGAGGGGAGUGAAAUAGUUCCUGAAACCAUGUGCCUACAAGCUGUCGGAGCCCGUUAAUGGGUGACGGCGUGCCUCUUGCAGAAUGAACCGGCGAGUCAUGAUUACGUGCAAGGUUAAGGUGGAAAAACCGGAGCCGCAGCGAAAGCGAGUCUGAAAUGGGCGUAUGAAGUACGUAGUUAUGUACCCGAAACCAGGUGACCUACCCAUGUCCAGGGUGAAGGUGCGGUAAAACGCACUGGAGGCCCGAACCCGUGUCUGUUGAAAAAGGCUGGGAUGAGGUGUGGGUAGCGGUGAAAUUCCAAACGAACUUGGAGAUAGCUGGUUCUCUCCGAAAUCUCUUUAGGGGGAGCCUCGGAAUCGAGAAUCUUGGAGGUAGAGCACUGUUUGGACGAGGGGCCCGUCAUGGGUUACCGACUUCAGAUAAACUCCGAAUGCCAAU
rnacentral:rRNA from 1 species